rnacentral:rRNA from 1 species
CCGUGAGGGAAAGAUGAAAAGCACUUUGAAAAGAGAGUUAAACAGUACGUGAAACCGUUAAAGGGGAAACGGAUGGGGUCAGCAGUGCGCUCCGCGAGAUUCAGCCGGUUGGCACGUCGGGCGGGCGGUUAGCGGAUCUGAAUGGACCGCGGCCGUUCGGUUCGACGGGCGGACCGUCGCACUUCUCGCGAGCGCGCGCCAGCGUCGGUUGUCGCCGGGCGUCAAAGUCGCGGGCAAGGUGGGCCGCCCCCCUCGGGAGGUGGCUGUUAUAGGCCCGUGUCGCAUGGCCCGGUGGCGACCGAGGAGUCGCGGCGUGUGCCUCCCCUCACGGGGUUGGCUGGGGUCCCGUCUCGCCGGGCGGCGGUAGAACGUGGUGGACUGCGUGCAGUGCGCCGCGACAGCCGCCGUUCGUCGGGACGGUGACUUUGCACCACGCGCCAAGGACGCUGGCGGUCAAAUGGCCUCAUUCGACCCGUCUUGAAACACGGACCAAGGAGUCUAACAUGUGCGCGAGUCUUCGAGUGAAGGAAGCUCGCGGGCGCAAUGAAAGUGAAGGUGGCCUUGUGUCGCCGAGGCGGGAGCUCGUCCCCUCGCGGGGCGGGUGCACCGUCGACCGACCUAUUCCGCUCUCGGGAAGGUUUGAGUGGGAGCGCACCUGUUGGGACCCGAAAGAUGGUGAACUAUGCUUGAAUAGGGUGAAGCCAGAGGAAACACUGGUGGAA